ACAAUACUCUGGAGAGUCUCAAUGAUUUGGGCGCCGAAGGUGUAACACAGGCCAUAAGGCCUGUCUAUCUCUCAGGCAAAAGGACAGGGCA
rnacentral:ncRNA from 1 species